UCAUUAUUUUAGGGGAAUCCAAGAUAUGUUACUAUUUAUCUUCAAGGAGUUCAAUCUCACCAGCAAGCCACUGUUUAGGGGGCAUCUUCAGAUCUGAAAUGCCAAGAGAUAUAAUGAGCAUUGAUGGUAGCCAAUAACAACUCUGGCUCAUUCAAGAGGAUCGAGCAUGUACUCUGA